rnacentral:miRNA from 1 species
AAGCAUAGUAGUACUUA